CGAGUCUGAGGAAUGGAUGAUAGUUCCUCGCGGGCUGCCGAGCGACCAGCAUCCCCCGAGGCGGUGCGCUGUUACCUCGCUUCUCCUGUGUGUGUCCGGAACGAGAUACCAGAGCGAAACCCGGCGUGUAAUUCGAAAGCACUGUAGAAAACAAACAUUAGUAUAAAAAAAUACAGAAAACAGAGCAAAAACUAAAAGAACAAGAAAAAACAGAACCAAAAGAAAAUGAAAGUGUUAGUGAUCAUGAAAGAAGUGAAAAAAGUCGCUCGUGGGUUUUGAAAAUCACCCAUACACAUGAACUAAUGGCAAACUAACUGAAAGAAAGAGAGACUGGUAAAUAACGAUAGAGAAGAAGAAAGAAGGAAUAAUUAUGCUCCCAAAAAGUGCACGGGCGUGACUCUAGUGUGAGAUUCAUCCUCCGUAACCCUCUUCCUCUUUCUUCUCUUUCUCCUAAUCUCUCUUUCUCUUCCUCCCUUCCACUUAUUUCCUACGUACCUAGAAACCUGAAUUUGAUCUGAAACCUGAACGUGAUCUUAAGUGUCUGUGUAACGUUUUUUUUUUUUUUUUUUAGCAUUUUUUUUUUUUUUUUU